AGGGAAUAUGUACGUAUCUCUCUGAACAUAUAUAAACUGAAGAUCUUUUAGUGCAAGUUUGGCACCCCAGAUGGGACAGAGCUCCUGCACCUCAACAGUUCCUGGGGUGGUGGAACCUCAGCUGGCACCAAGGUUUUCUCAGGAGGACCCUGAUUCUUGAACUGAAGAGCCCCAGAGCAAGGACUACUGACUAGACUCCCUGAUUUUACUGUAGUAUCCUCCUGUUUCACUGUCAGAUGGACUGUUGAAGCUUCUGUAGGAAAAUUGGUAGCCAGAUGUUUUUUCUUUACAGGGAAUGACUCUCCAGUUUUCCCUUGCUAUCUGCUAACCAUGCUAAGAAGCAAUUAGACUGUUUUAAAGGCCUGAAAGUUGAUGUGCCACAACAAUCAGGGACUCUGAGGAGCUAGCAACAGAAAUGCCAGUUAUGUAUUGGCAGUUAUUUAAUGAGCCACUGAAGGUUCAACCAGCUUACUUUUUUUUUUUUUUUAAACUUAGUUAUUGAUGAUACAAAUACCACGUGCAAGGAAAGGAUAUUGAUUUGUGGUUUUAUUGAUUUAGGCCUAAGGGCUGGUACAAGAGUUUGGACUGCUUUGGAUGGAAAGAAGUGAGGAGCAUUGGCACCAUGUCUGAACGAAACCAGACAAUUACACAGUAUUGCACGGUAAUUUGGAGGUCCUCCAAUGACCUGCCUGCAGUUUGGAUAUAGCUUUAGUACUACAGAGGAAUAAUUUAUUCAAGUGUGAGCCAGUGCAGCCAUAGCCAGACAUGCUCAGGUGUGCCUACAAAUGCUGUAGGUAUAGUACUUUCUCACUGUCCAUCCAGAAAUGUCAAAAAACAGAAGUAUGAGCUGAUAAAAUGAUUGACUCGAUACUUUAACUGUAGUGUUAAAGCACUGCCAGCAGUUUCCCUUUAAUGUUCAAUCCCCACUGGUUUUAAUCUAUGUAGUUCUGUGCCUUGAGACAAGUUUAAUUUUUCUUUAUAAAAUAGUGACGCAUCCUAGCGCAAAAUAUCUCAAAAUAAAGUUGUGUAUUUAGAACAGGUUUUGAGAAAAGGGCUUGCAGCUUUUACAGGAAUGGAGAAACUUCUGCUUAAAUGGAGACAGAGGAAAGGUUGAAAGUUUAUGUUAAAAAAAGAGAAAAGAAAAAAGGAAAAUUUUCAAAUUAACAAUUGAACUACAAAGGUGACAAAAUUAGUAGUACCCAGCUUCUGAGCACUAUGGAGAUAAAGACAAUGGCAAGAUGAGGGCAUUCAUUUCCUAUUAAUAUACAGUAGAAAUCUGUGCAUUUUCCUCUUUGUCUGGUAUUAAUCAUAAAUGAAGACAGAAUAACAGACUAGAGCAAUCUAAGAUCUCUUUCUAAGUCCAGUGACCAUUUCUAAAUGCUUCUGUGUGACUGUUUUCCACAGCAGAAAAAAAAGCAUUUGGUCAUAGUUUUGUACAUACACAAAUCAUUAAGAUUUUUACUUACAGUUUAUACAUACUAAUUAGCCACAAACAGUCCCACACAAGCCAUGAUCGAGAACAGAGUACUCUCACUUAAAAAAAAAAUCUCCUUUGAGCUAUCAGCAAUUCAAGGACAUGCCAGGAAGUGGUUAUUUAAACAGUUUUCUGAUCUUCACCAAGUUUGCUCCUAAGUGAAAAAGAAUGUACAAGCACAAAGGCAGCAGAGCUUUGUACUACAGUUGUGAGAAAGAGUGGAUUUCCCAUUCCUUUCUUUUUAGUGAAGCAUUGCCUAUACUAUUGCGAUGCACACAGACAGAUGUCCAGAAGGGAACAACUCUGGCACUGAUAUUUUAAAGAUCCUUUCCCACAAAUUAUUCUGUUAUCUAAUGAAUUUUAUUGUUGUAAUGCUACUCAGAGUGGCCUAAUUCCCUUCAAAUUUCGGGGAAUUUUUCUGCCUGCUAGCAGCAUUCAUGGCUUUGCAGAACUAUUUGAAACUCAGCCCCAAAAGUACAAAAAAGGUUUAUAAAAGAGUCCAUGAGCUGUUGCAACACCAGAAUGAAAUCAGAUCCCUAUCUGUACCCUUCCAAUUAUUCUAUGAGAUUUCUGUUGAGAGGAAUCCCAAAACUCUUUGUUUGCUAUAUGUCAUAUAAUACCUAGCUGUACAGAGAUAGGCUAUGCAUCUGUGCUAAUCUUACCUUUGAAUUCUCAAAGGACAAAAUUAUGAGCGCUCAUUCAUUUGAACACUAUCUUUAUGAAUUGCCAGCCAGCAGAUUAGUUCCCAGGAAAGUGUGCUUCAAAACCUGAGAAAGUAAACACGCCCUACAAUGAAGAUGAAUGAAGUAACAUCUAAUGACUUAAAGCCCAGUCUGAAGAGUGAUACAGAAAAAUAUAUAGAAAGGUCUGUUCUUGGAAAAAAAAAAAAAAUACUGUUCACACUGGAUCAGACUCUGAAAUUGCGAUGGUAUGAAUGUCAGUUUUUAUAUCAGCAGGUAGCUAGCAUAGAAGUAUCUUUUCAGUUGUGCAUCCCCAUGGGAAGAAAACAAAGUUAUAUCCUUCUAGCUGAAUGACAAAGGAGGUUUGGUUUUGUUACAUAUACUUUAUACUACAAAUGUAUUCUGAAGUAAAGCACUUAGGGACUCAGCCAGAACUAGUUAUUUAUUAAUUCUCACUUGGUUACUCAAAUAGCUAAUCUACUGGCUAUACCUCAAAGAAGUUUCUGUAAGCUUCAACGGGGUACAUUUUCAACAGUGCCACUAAAAUUUGGCAAUGCUGAAAAAAUGAAGAAAUAAAAUAU
ensembl:lncRNA